GACGAACGCUGGCGGCGUGCUUAACACAUGCAAGUCGAACGGAAAGGCCCCCUUGUGGGGUACUCGAGUGGCGAACGGGGGAGUAACACGUGAGUAACCUACCCUUGACUUUGGGAUAACUUCAGGAAACUGGGGCUAAUACCGGAUAGGAGCUCCUGCUGCAUGGUGGGGGUUGGAAAGUUUCGGCGGUUGGGGAUGGACUCGCGGCUUAUCAGCUUGUUGGUGGGGUAGUGGCUCACCAAGGCUUUGACGGGUAGCCGGCCUGAGAGGGUGACCGGCCACAUUGGGACUGAGAUACGGCCCAGACUCCUACGGGAGGCAGCAGUGGGGAAUAUUGCACAAUGGGCGGAAGCCUGAUGCAGCAACGCCGCGUGCGGGAUGACGGCCUUCGGGUUGUAAACCGCUUUCGCCUGUGACGAAGCGUGAGUGACGGUAAUGGGUAAAGAAGCACCGGCUAACUACGUG
rnacentral:rRNA from 1 species